rfam:Triticum urartu cultivar G1812 contig1189036, whole genome shotgun sequence.
UUUCUACUCCCUCCGUCCGAAAAUACUUGUCAUCAAAAUGGAUAAAAAGAGAUGUAUCUAAAACUAAAAUACGUCUAGAUACAUUUCCUUUUAUCCAUUUUGAUGACAAGUAUUUCUGAAAGGAGGGAGUAUUUG